UGGCACUGGGCACCUGUGCCUUAGACAGCAAUCCUGGCCUUUGCUUUGGGAAGCAACACAUUCCUGAAGGGCCACAACAAAAUGGUCAUGGCCACAGCCAAGCAUGCCACAGUGAGCAAGUUGGACAAAUCUUUGAACAGGACGAUUGAAGUGUUUUGGUUUGGUUUGGUUGGAAGACUGUACUAGCUUGCCAGAGGGAAUUCAGAGGAAACCAGAAUAUUUUCCCAAAGAGGAGGUGGUGAAAGGGUGUCUGUCCCUGGUCCUUGUGUUGUGUCAGCAGCAGCACUCAUCCAGCUGUACAACUGCACUGGGGACUGGAUCUGGCUGACUGCUGAGGAUGCAUCUCCCUGUGCUGACAC